UAGUAUACCUAUUGGCGCGUAUUCAUACAUUGGCGCCUUUUUUGGCGCUAAAAACGGCGCCGUUUAUUUCCGAAUUCUCCUCUUCUCUUUGUGUACGUGGAAGCGCGAGGAUGGACGAGAGAUUCACGUUUAUUAAAUCAAUCUGCAAAUAUAUCACGGCUCAUGAGAAUAUAACAAGUGAUGAGGAUGAGCGCCUCGUACCACUCGAUACGUUCAUCUCGCAGAGUCAAGAUCAAGAGGAGAACCGUCACAGCGUAUGCCAGCGUAUCGCGCGACACGGGCCACCAUUCCAAAUUUAGCACCUAUAGAUACGAUAAGGAUUAAGUGUACAAGAAGAAGGAUAGAGAAAGAAUCGCAAAAUUGCAUGAAAAUGUAUACAACACACACGUACUUUAU
rnacentral:misc_RNA from 1 species